CUUUCUGCUCGACCGCCAUUUUCUUUUUCGCACUCGGGUGAAUAAGCUUUUUCAAGUUUGACGAUUGAGGACGACACUUUGCUAUAACAUUACAUGACUGAAAACAUUCACACGGAAAGAAGAGUGUCCUGAAGGCCCUCAUCGUUUUCCUGGGGAAAAUCCGGU